AGACAUCAGGAUCCCACCACCGCAAGAGGUGGGAGAAGCAAGUCUAGAACAUCUCCAGGCUCAGACUAAACGAGAAUACUUGGACUGCAACCAAGUAAUCACUGCAAAGUAGUUCCAAGCAGCAAGAAAUACCAGAUUCUCAUGGAGGCUACUAUAGGGUACAGAAUAACAACAUGAAAACAAUCAACCCUGUAUAAAUAAUGUUUCUUGGCAUUUUUUUUUUAAUUAAAGAAAUCCAGUGUCUCAAAAAAAAAAAAAAAAAAA
rnacentral:lncRNA from 1 species